AGAGAGAGACAUGCGCGCAUAUCAAUAAGCGGAGGAAAAGAAACUAACUAGGAUUCCCUCAGUAACGGCGAGUGAAGCGGGAAGAGCUCAAAUUUGAAAUCUUCAAGGUUCUACCUUGACGAAUUGUAGUUUAAAGAAGUGUUUUCUGUUGGAGUUUUGGUAAAAGUUCUUUGGAAUAGGACAUCAUAGAGGGUGAGAAUCCCGUAUUUGACCAUUAUUUCCAGCUUUGUGAUACACUUUCAAAGAGUCGGAUUGUUUGGGAAUGCAGUCCAAAAUGGGUGGUAAAUUUCAUCUAAAGCUAAAUAUUGGCGAGGGACCGAUAGCGAACAAGUACCGUGAGGGAAAGAUGAAAAGAACUUUGAAAAGAGAGUUAAACAGUACGUGAAAUUGUCAAAAGGGAAGCGUUUGACACCAGUGUUGUUUUCUCGAAAAUCAAUUAAAAAAGGCAGGAUUUUGUGUUGUAUUGACUUUAUCAGCUUUCUGCACUCUUUUCUUGUCUUUUUUAAUGCACUUUUCGUUUAACAAGUCAACAUCAAUUUCUUUUGUUGUAAAAGGGUCAUUGGAAGGUGGCUUUCUUUUCGGAGAAAGUGUUUAUAGCCUUUGGCCUCUGCAAUCGGAGAGAUUGAGGUCUGCAGCGUAGAUCCUUCGGGGUUAGAUACAUUUGUGCUAAGUUAUAGCCUUUCAUAGACAACUUGUUGACUAUGAUCAGUCAUGUAGCUUACUCGCUUAUGCUAUUUUACCUACGCUUAGGAUGUUGAUGUGAUACUGCGAGC
rnacentral:rRNA from 1 species